UACGAAGGGGGCUAGCGUUGCUCGGAAUCACUGGGCGUAAAGCGCACGUAGGCGGAUUGCUAAGUCAGGGGUGAAAUCCUGGAGCUCAACUCCAGAACUGCCUUUGAUACCGGCGAUCUUGAGUCCGGGAGAGGUGAGUGGAACUGCGAGUGUAGAGGUGAAAUUCGUAGAUAUUCGCAAGAACACCAGUGGCGAAGGCGGCUCACUGGCCCGGUACUGACGCUGAGGCGCGAAAGCUAGGGGAGCAAACAGG
rnacentral:rRNA from 1 species